AAUUGAGAGCAGAUUCGGAUCCCUUAUUCAAGUAGAGACAUUACUCAACUAAGAUCUGCUGUGUGGAAAGAGCGGCUUAAAGGUAUCCAAAAAUUUGAGAGAUUUACAAGGUUCCACUUUUGCUAUUAUUAGCGAAUGAGUGAAGCAAUAUGGAGCUUUUCAAGAAAGUUUCAAAUGGUGUGAGAGAAAGAGGCUGUCGCUGAACUAACAGAGCGUGCAUCCACCAAAAAGAUUACUCCUUGAGAUUUUUCAGAAGUUUGUCGAACAAUUAAGAAGGUUAUAUCACAGAUGUAAACAUUACGAUAGGAAGAAAAAAAAGGAAAAAAAAAAGCGUUGCUGUUGCAGCUGAAGCUAUUCAAGCUCUGGGCAACC